CUUGGUCAUUUAGAGGAAGUAAAAGUCGUAACAAGGUCUCCGUUGGUGAACCAGCGGAGGGAUCAUUGCUGGAACGCGCCCCAGGCGCACCCAGAAACCCUUUGUGAACUUAUACCUUACUGUUGCCUCGGCGCAUGCUGGUCUCUAGUAGGCCCCUCACCCCGGUGAGGAGACGGCACGCCGGCGGCCAAGUUAACUCUUGUUUUUACACUGAAACUCUGAGAAAAAACACAAAUGAAUCAAAACUUUCGACAACGGAUCUCUUGGUUCUGGCAUCGAUGAAGAACGCAGCGAAAUGCGAUAAGUAAUGUGAAUUGCAGAAUUCAGUGAAUCAUCGAAUCUUUGAACGCACAUUGCGCCCUCUGGUAUUCCGGAGGGCAUGCCUGUUCGAGCGUCAUUUCAACCCUCAAGCAUUGCUUGGUGUUGGGGCACUGCUUCUAACGAAGCAGGCCCUGAAAUCUAGUGGCGAGCUCGCCAGGACCCCGAGCGUAGUAGUUAAACCCUCGCUCUGGAAGGCCCUGGCGGUGCCCUGCCGUUAAACCCCCAACUUCUGAAAAUUUGACCUCGGAUCAGGUAGGAAUACCCGCUGAACUUAAGCAUAUCAAUAAGCGGAGGA
rnacentral:rRNA from 1 species